rnacentral:lncRNA from 1 species
UUUUAAAUCCUUUGAUUUUAUUACCUUUUUCAAAAAUACAGGUUUUCAAAAGUGUUUUAGAAUGAUUUUGUGUGGUGACGUCAGAAUCCAGACCCCCGGAUUCUCGGGCUGUCACAGUUGGUAUCAGAGCAACAGGUUAUAAGUUAUUGAAAUUAGAAUAUAGGUUGUCAUUAUAAGUUUAUAGAGAAGAAGUGUUCAGUGACCUCAUAUAGAGGUAUUGUGAGACUGUCUGGGGAUAGUCUAGAGAGGUAAUCGGAAUAGAAUCUAGAUAGUUAAAUUAAGUUGAGGGUACAUGUUUAGAUGGAUCAUGGUUCCUAAGUCUAGACACUUGGUUUCUAGUAUGGGGACUGAUUGAGAUAGUGAAUUGUGAUAAGGGUCAGAGUCAGACCUAGUCAAAAGAGUAUUAAUAAUGAAUGAUUAAGUUAAGAAUGAUAAAGAUGCAUGGUUUGGAGUAUUCUGACCAUGUUACAUAUUUGAAAGUGGUUUAUCGUUUGAAUUGAGAUGUAGAAGAAUGGGUGUUGAAUAUGAGAUAUUGUGAAUUAGAAAGAGAGUUUUGUAGAUAGAUGUGAUGUGAAUGAUAGAGAGUAUGUGGAAUUGAGUCUAGUUAUCAGAAGUAACAUUGUGAGUGAGAUAGAACGUUAGUCUUAACGACGACGCUUCAAGCUAACCGGGAUUUCUUCUGAUAUCAAGAUGAGCCAACUUCAUUGCGAACGAUAAUGUCUACAAGGGAUCUUACGAAGCUAUCACGAGCGAGAACGUCGAGAAGAGGACAUACCUUGAACAACGGCUUAUGGGAGCAGAGCAAGAAUUUGAGAAGACCUUGGCAAUAUCUUUCUUCAAUAAAAACUUAUUUUAAUUCUUCUCAUCAUCAUUAAGUCCUUAUUGGGAUAUCUUUUCUACAAAAGUUUUGAUAAAUGAGAUUUCUUAUUUCUCGAAUGACGAGAAAACAUUGGUAUUGAUUAUUGAUAUUGGUAUUGAUUCUUGGUGUGUGAUAAAGGUUAUUGUGAGAAGACAAUGAUAUUUCUUGAUAUUCCUUGAUAUUCUUUGAUAUACCUUGAUAUCUCUUGAUAUUCUUUGGUAUUCUUUGAGAUUCCUUGGUAUUUCUUCCAUAUGAUUGGGAUGAACAACCCUAUGUAUAGGGGACACAAGGUAUACCUGUCUGUGUGAUAGGAGUUGGAUGGGACGCCAUCACUUGGUUUCUAGUAUGGGGACUGAUUGAGAUAGUGAAUUGUGAUAAGGGUCAGAGUCAGACCUAGUCAAAAGAGUAUUAAUAAUGAAUGAUUAAGUUAAGAAUGAUAAAGAUGCAUGGUUUGGAGUAUUCUGACCAUGUUACAUAUUUGAAAGUGGUUUAUCGUUUGAAUUGAGAUGUAGAAGAAUGGGUGUUGAAUAUGAGAUAUUGUGAAUUAGAAAGAGAGUUUUGUAGAUAGAUGUGAUGUGAAUGAUAGAGAGUAUGUGGAAUUGAGUCUAGUUAUCAGAAGUAAUAUUGUGAGUGAGAUAGAACGUUAGUCUUAACGACGACGCUUCAAGCUAACCGGGAUUUCUUCUGAUAUCAAGAUGAGCCAACUUCAUUGCGAACGAUAAUGUCUACAAGGGAUCUUACGAAGCUAUCACGAGCGAGAACGUCGAGAAGAGGACAUACCUUGAACAACGGCUUAUGAACGAUAAUGUCUACAAGGGAUCUUACGAAGCUAUCACGAGCGAGAACGUCGAGAAGAGGACAUACCUUGAACAACGGCUUAUGGGAGCAGAGCAAGAAUUUGAGAAGACCUUGGCAAUAUCUUUCUUCAAUAAAAACUUAUUUUAAUUCUUCUCAUCAUCAUUAAGUCCUUAUUGGGAUAUCUUUUCUACAAAAGUUUUGAUAAAUGAGAUUUCUUAUUUCUCGAAUGACGAGAAAACAUUGGUAUUGAUUAUUGAUAUUGGUAUUGAUUCUUGGUGUGUGAUAAAGGUUAUUGUGAGAAGACAAUGAUAUUUCUUGAUAUUCCUUGAUAUUCUUUGAUAUACCUUGAUAUCUCUUGAUAUUCUUUGGUAUUCUUUGAGAUUCCUUGGUAUUUCUUCCAUAUGAUUGGGAUGAACAACCCUAUGUAUAGGGGACACAAGGUAUACCUGUCUGUGUGAUAGGAGUUGGAUGGGACGCCAUCACUUGUGUGUGUUGUACUUACAAGAAGGUUAACAACCUUUAGUAGUGUCUAAUAUGGGCACGCAACACUAAGUUCGUUUGAUCAUAUUGAUCUCUCAGUCACUCUCUUAUUCAAACAUGACCUAUUUUGAAAACAUUUUGUUCCAUUCUAAGUUCUUAAAGAGUGAUUCUAAGAACUGAGCUCUGUAAUGGUGAAAGUUUUAAUACUCUUAUUUGUUUCAAAGUCAAAGGUAUGCCAAGGUCGAACGAAGG